CCUACGGGGGGCAGCAGUGGGGAAUAUUGCGCAAUGGGCGAAAGCCUGACGCAGCGACGCCGCGUGAGGGAUGAAGGUCUUCGGAUCGUAAACCUCUGUCAGCAGGGAAGAACGGUCACUGUGCUAAUCAGCAGUGAAUUGACGGUACCUGCAAAGGAAGCACCGGCUAACUCCGUGCCAGCAGCCGCGGUAAUACGGAGGGAGCGAGCGUUAAUCGGAAUUACUGGGCGUAAGGCGCUCGUAGGCGGUAUGUCAAGUCAAGGGUGAAAUCCCCGCGCGCAACGUGGGAACUGCCUUUGAAACUGGCAAACUGGAGUGUGUGAGAGGAUAGUGGAAUUCCAGGUGUAGGAGUGAAAGCCGUAGAUAUCUGGAGGAACAUCAGUGGCGAAGGCGACUAUCUGGCACAUAACUGACGCUGAGGAGCGAAAGCGUGGGUAGCAAACAGGAUUAGAUACCCCAGUAGUC
rnacentral:rRNA from 1 species